AUACGGAGGGUGCAAGCGUUACUCGGAAUCACUGGGCGUAAAGCGCGCGCAGGCGGUCUUUUAAGUUGGAUGUGAAAGCCUACGGCUCAACCGUAGAACUGCAUCCAAAACUAUUAGACUAGAGUGUGGGAGAGGAAGAUGGAAUUAGUUGUGUAGGAGUAAAAUCCGUAGAGAUAACUAGGAAUACCAAAAGCGAAGGCAAUCUUCUGGAACACUACUGACGCUGAGGCGCGAAGGCGUGGGGAGCAAACAGGAUUAGAAACCCCAGUAGUCC
rnacentral:rRNA from 1 species